rnacentral:rRNA from 2 species
GAACUCUGAAGAAGAUAGGGCUGUCUGAGUACCUAGAAAAUUGUCAAAACUUUCAACAAUGGAUCUCUUGGUUCCGGCAUCGAUGAAGAACGCAGCGAAAUGCGAUAAGUAAUGUGAAUUGCAGAAUUCCGUGAAUCAUCGAAUCUUUGAACGCACAUUGCGCCCCCUGGCAUUCCGGGGGG